UUAAGCGACUAAGCGUACACGGUGGAUGCCCUGGCAGUCAGAGGCGAUGAAGGACGUGCUAAUCUGCGAUAAGCGUCGGUAAGGUGAUAUGAACCGUUAUAACCGGCGAUUUCCGAAUGGGGAAACCCAGUGUGAUUCGACACACUAUCAUUAACUGAAUCCAUAGGUUAAUGAGGCGAACCGGGGGAACUGAAACAUCUAAGUACCCCGAGGAAAAGAAAUCAACCGAGAUUCCCCCAGUAGCGGCGAGCGAACGGGGAGGAGCCCAGAGCCUGAAUCAGUGUGUGUGUUAGUGGAAGCGUCUGGAAAGGCGCGCGAUACAGGGUGACAGCCCCGUACACAAAAAUGCACAUGCUGUGAGCUCGAUGAGUAGGCGGGACACGUGGUAUCCUGUCUGAAUAUGGGGGGACCAUCCUCCAAGGCUAAAUACUCCUGACUGACCGAUAGUGAACCAGUACCGUGAGGGAAAGGCGAAAAGAACCCCGGCGAGGGGAGUGAAAAAGAACCUGAAACCGUGUACGUACAAGCAGUGGGAGCACGCUUCGGCGUGUGACUGCGUACCUUUUGUAUAAUGGGUCAGCGACUUAUAUUCUGUAGCAAGGUUAACCGAAUAGGGGAGCCGAAGGGAAACCGAGUCUUAACUGGGCGUUAAGUUGCAGGGUAUAGACCCGAAACCCGGUGAUCUAGCCAUGGGCAGGUUGAAGGUUGGGUAACACUAACUGGAGGACCGAACCGACUAAUGUUGAAAAAUUAGCGGAUGACUUGUGGCUGGGGGUGAAAGGCCAAUCAAACCGGGAGAUAGCUGGUUCUCCCCGAAAGCUAUUUAGGUAGCGCCUCGUGAAUUCAUCUCCGGGGGUAGAGCACUGUUUCGGCAAGGGGGUCAUCCCGACUUACCAACCCGAUGCAAACUGCGAAUACCGGAGAAUGUUAUCACGGGAGACACACGGCGGGUGCUAACGUCCGUCGUGAAGAGGGAAACAACCCAGGCCGCCAGCUAAGGUCCCAAAGUCAUGGUUAAGUGGG
rnacentral:rRNA from 1 species